ACUCUUUCCUUUCUAUAGGUCCCCCGCAUCUCACACCUCACGACUCACCUUGAUCUAUUCUCUAUGUCAACAAAUGAAAAAAAGAAUCACGAUCUCAGAAGCCCACCCCUCCUCGGCGGCGAGCGUCCUCUCUCCCGAUAUGAUGUGAGUUCUUCAUCGUCUAUUGCUCCCUGGUGGCGAUCUCAGAAGCCUGGCCCAUGGCAUGACGCCUUCUACCAGCACUCUUCCAUGGCUCUAUGCCUAGACACAAACAUCCUCAGUACAGGAAAGGAGAACCAAUUGCCUGAAGACGAACGGCCCUCAGGUUGCCAUGUCCAGAUUUACUAAUGUUUCUUCUUGUAUCACGUGGAGAUGGAACUGUCAAGAACAAACAGACUGUUCUGACUGUGUUGGCCUUGAAUUCGAUUAACAAGAGUCAGUUCUUCGGUGAGACGCCCAGCUGUAGGUGGUUGCAAGAUAUAUCAUAAGGCAUUGACUGGAUGUUCAUGGUGUUAGUUAUCUCAAGAUCAUGUGAUACAGAGCACACAAAGGAGUAGCUAGCAGAAUGGUCGGUGCAAAACUGAGCAGAUUUUUCGUUGGGCAUCAGACUGCCAAAAUUUCCUUCACUUAUUAUAACUUGAUUAACUACAUUAGGUUAUAGAAGAUUCCUUUUGAAAAUUGAUCAACCACCUGACUCGAAGGGUUGUGCACCACAGAUCAUGGGUGGCGCAGAGUCCUACCAUCAACUUCUCUGCUGCUUCCAUCAAAACAAAAAACUUCUCUGUUGCUUCUCAUCUCAUGUGAAAGGCAUAUGCCAGUACAGAACAAUGUGUCCCAGUGAAGCUGGGGGCUGUCUUUCUUUCCGGACAGUACAACAUGGUAUCUUCCAGUGAAUGGAUAAGGAAACAAUAUAAGCAAAAAUAGCAAUGUGCACAGGUAAGCAUAACUUCUAAAUUUAUAUUUUAGCCCAUCGCCACUUCUCUUACAUAUGGCUGAACAGGUGCUGCGUCAAUAAAAUUUGAUGUAAAUUUUUGUUUCCCUUUUAUUCACUAGGGGCUUGCGACGUAGGUCAUUCACUUCAAUAUGCCUUUGGGAUAAGCAUUCACAUUGUGUUAGAUUUGGUUGUUGGUUCAUAGCAGGGUGAAAUAAAUAAUAGUUGAAAAGAAAUACUCAAUUUUAGAUGUCAUAGCAGUUCAAAUGAUUUAUUUCACACCACUAUGGAGAGUAGUUAGGCCUCUAAUGGAAUUUCUGUAUGUAACUACAUGAGCUUUACAUGUGGAUAAGGCCUUUGUACCAUUUCAUAUUUGGCAAAUCAAUUUCAGGUCAGGUAGCUCCUUCUAGAAGGUUUAUAAUAAGAAAAGUAUGCUGAUUUGGACAUUAUACCUCCUUUAGGGUUUACAAGGCAUACAUAUUUUGAGUUCAAGUAUUAAUUACCAUCAAUUAGACAAGUAGCGUAGGUUAGCCCUGAUUAAACAUGAAGUAUAUGAUUCCAAAAAAUUAGGUAGAAGUUACUUUAUAUACAAAAGUCAUUGGCAUUCAUAACAAAUGCAUGUCUGAAAAAAAACUUAGUAAAUCUUGACAUGUAUAUAUAUAUUUGAAGGAUAACAUUCUUCUUAUAAAGUAUCAUUGUUACGUUAUUGUAUUUUACCAUCGAUGUGUUUAUUUGAAUCUCAUUUUUCCUUUAUUAUUUUAUGAUGGUAUAUUUCCUAACCAAUUCGAAUCUUCUAGAUGACAUAGGUCCACUUAAUACUGCAGUGUGCAAUUUAAUCAUCUUAAAAUGUUCAUGUCACUUCACCCAUGUAAAUCUUAUUAGAAAUUUUCUCGCGGUGAAUCUGAUUUCAUGAAUAAGACCUACAUCCGAACCCAUAUAGAAUUGAAGUGCUCACAAAUCUAUCAUAGAAGGAACAAGUUACUCCGUACAAACUUUACAUCAGCAUGGAAAGAAACUGAUCUACUCUAAAGUAUAGCACCAAUUAUCACUCAAAGUUGCAUAAGUAAGCACUCUUUAUACAAGCCGGAUAAUUUAUGCAGGCAAAAUAGAAAAAAAACACAAUAAAAAAAUUAAUAUUGAUUUGACCGCGAGAUAUUGCAAAUGUAAAAAAUCAUAAAAAAGAAAAGAUUGUUCUAUUCUAAUAUGUAAUUACUAGAAUUUGGAAUUAUAAUGUUCAUGUGUGUUGCUAUCUAAACUAGAUUCAAAAGUUAUAAAUGGUCUGAGGCUUUCAGUAUAUAUUAAUCACUAAACUAGCCCGUGCAAAUGCACGGGUUGGCGACUAGUAUUUGCUAGACCAUGAAAAUGAUAUGUUUAUGAAUGAAAGAAGGGAAAUAGAUGAAGUAUUCUUGCAGCAGGUUCCUAUCUUGAAACACAACUUACCUGU